rfam:Danio rerio chromosome 21, GRCz11 reference primary assembly.
GGGGAUGUAUCUCAGUGGUAGAGCACAUGCGUUUGCAUGUAUGAGGUCCGGGGUUCAAUCCCCAGCAUCUCCA